rnacentral:rRNA from 1 species
CCUACGGGAGGCUGCAGUGAGGAAUAUUGGUCAAUGGACGAGAGUCUGAACCAGCCAAGUAGCGUGAAGGAUGACUGCCCUAUGGGUUGUAAACUUCUUUUAUAAAGGAAUAAAACGAGGCACGUGUGCCUUUUUGCAUGUACUUUAUGAAUAAGGAUCGGCUAACUCCGUGCCAGCAGCCGCGGUAAUACGGAGGAUCCGAGCGUUAUCCGGAUUGAUUGGGUUUAAAGGGAGCGUAGAUGGGUUGUUAAGUCAGUUGUGAAAGUUUGCGGCUCAACCGUAAAAUUGCAAUUGAUACUGGCAGUCUUGAGUACAGUUGAGGUAGGCAGAAUUCGUGGUGUAGCGGUGAAAUGCUUAGAUAUCACGAAGAACCCCGAUUGCGAAGGCAGCUUACUAAACUGUGACUGACAUUGAUGCUCGAAAGUGUGGGUAUCAAACAGGAUUAGAUACCCUUGUAGUC